rnacentral:rRNA from 1 species
CCCUUAGAUGUUCUGGGCCGCACGCGCGCUACACUGAUGCAUUCAACGAGUUUCUUCCUGGUCCGAGAGGAAUGGGUAACCUUUUGAAAGUGCAUCGUGAUAGGGAUAGACUAUUGCAAUUAUUGGUCUUCAACGAGGAAUUCCUAGUAGACGUAGUUCAUCAGACUGCAUCGAUUACGUCCCUGCUCUUUGUACACACCGCCCGUCGCUCCUACCGAUUGAAUGCUCAGGUGAGCCAUUCGGACUUUCAUCAUGCUGGUUUCCAGUUUUGAUGAAGGAAAGUCUUGCGAACCUUAUCAUUUAGAGGAAGGAGAAGUCGUAACA